UCUACCCAUUUGUGGGGAGAUGGUGGGGAAGAAGCCAUGCUUUAGGGAAUAUUAAUAGAGUUAGAUCUUUUUUUUUUUAAUACCAGAAUUGGAACAUCGAAACACGGUUGCGAAGUGCACCUCACAGGAGGCCGUGGAAUUAACCAGCAGUAUCCCAGUGGUGCCUACUGUUGGUCAAAUGAGCUGGAAACCGGAGGACAAGGGGAUCAGUUGACGCGGCACACACAGCCCAAGGAAGGCCACAGGUAACUGAAACCAUGGAAUGUGAAACUACAGAUACGGGGGCCUACCGCACCUAAUCUCCCUGCUAACGGCCUGGGGAAAGCAGCAGAAGAUGGCCCAAGUGCUUGGGUCUCUGCCACCCAUGUGGGAGAUCCAGAUGAAGCUCCUGUCUCCUGGCUUCAGCCUGACUCAGCCAGGGCCAUUGUGGCCACUUGGGAAGUGAACCAGCAGAUGGAAGUCCACUCCCUCUCUCUCUGUAACUCCGAUUUCAAAUAAAUAAAUACAUCUUUAAAAAAAAAAAAGCAACCUUACUCUGUUUCUAUG